rnacentral:rRNA from 1 species
GAUGAACGCUGGCGGCGUGCCUAAUACAUGCAAGUCGAACGCACAGGCAGGAGCUUGCUUUUUUGGACGAGUUGCGCACGGGUGUGUAACACGUAGGUAUCAUGUCUCUUAGCGGGGGAUAUAUAUUCGAAACGCUAGCUAAUAUAGCAUAAGAGAUGAUGUUGCAUGACAUUUAAUUAUAAGAUACAGUUGUAUCACUACUAAUAGAUCCUGCGUCGCAUUAGUUAGUUGGUGGGGUAACGGCUUACCAAGGCGACGAUGAGUAGCCGACCAGAGAGGAUGAUCGGCCACACUGGGACUGAGACACGGUCCAGACUACGAAGGGAGGAAGAAGGAGGGAAUGUGACGAAAUGGGGGAAAGCAUGACGGAGCAACGCGGAGUGAGUGAUGAAGGUCUUCGGAUCGUAAAACUCUGUUAUUAGGGAAGAACAAAUGUGUAAGUAAAUAUGCACGUAUUGACGGUACCUAAUCAGAAAGCAACGGCUAACUACGUG